AUGACCUCAUGGUCACAAGGCAGCAUCGUGUCUUGCUUUUACAGGGGAUAUAUUGAAGCAGUAAGAGAACUUGACCAGAAAAUUCAGUUAUCUGGUGAUGUUCAGUUUGACGACAUUGUUGUUGCCUGCGGCGGGUAUUUCAUCAGCACCCACUAUAUCCUUUUCUACGAACGUAGUUAUGCGUGCUUGUGUCAGGCCUAG
rnacentral:rRNA from 1 species